rnacentral:rRNA from 1 species
AUUGAACGCUGGCGGCAUGCCUUACACAUGCAAGUCGAACGGUAACAGGUCUUCGGAUGCUGACGAGUGGCGAACGGGUGAGUAAUACAUCGGAACGUGCCUAGUAGUGGGGGAUAACUACUCGAAAGAGUGGCUAAUACCGCAUGAGAGCUAAGGAUGAAAGCAGGGGAUCGCAAGACCUUGUGCUACUAGAGCGGCCGAUGGCAGAUUAGGUAGUUGGUGGGAUAAAAGCUUUCCAAGCCGACGAUCUGUAGCUGGUCUGAGAGGACGAUCAGCCACACUGGGACUGAGACACGGCCCAGACUCCUACGGGAGGCAGCAGUGGGGAAUUUUGGACAAUGGGCGCAAGCCUGAUCCAGCAAUGCCGCGUGCAGGAUGAAGGCCUUCGGGUUGUAAACUGCUUUUGUACGGAACGAAAAGCCCUGGGUUAAUACCCUGGGGUCAUGACGGUACCGUAAGAAUAAGCACCGGCUAACUACGUGCCAGCCGCCGCAGUAA